rnacentral:rRNA from 1 species
GACGAACGCUGGCGGCGUGCUUAACACAUGCAAGUCGAACGGAAAGGCCCUGCUUUUGUGGGGUGCUCGAGUGGCGAACGGGUGAGUAACACGUGAGUAACCUGCCCUUGACUUUGGGAUAACUUCAGGAAACUGGGGCUAAUACCGGAUCGGAGCUCCUGCUGGAUGGUGGGGGUUGGAAAGUUUCGGCGGUUUGGGAUGGACUCGCGGCUUAUCAGUUUGUUGGUGGGGUAGUGGCUUACCAAGGGUUUGACGGGUAGCCGGCCUGAGAGGGUGACCGGCCACAUUGGGCCUGAGAGACGGCCCAGACGCCUACGGGAGGCAGCAGUGGGGAAUAUUGCACAAUGGGCGGAAGCCUGAUGCAGCAACGCCGCGUGCGGGAUGACGGCCUUCGGGUUGAAAACCGCUUUCGCCUGUGACGAAGCGUUAGUGACGGUAAUGGGUAAAGAAGCACCGGCUAACUACGUG